rnacentral:rRNA from 1 species
AUUGAACGCUGGCGGCAGGCUUUACACAUGCAAGUCGAACGAGUGGCGGACGGGUGAGUAAGGCUUGUGAAUCUUGCUUAUGGAGGGGUAUAACUACGGGAAACUGUAGCUAAAACCGCGUACCAUAGGAUGAGCCCAAUUGGGGAUGGGGCGUUGGUGGGGUAAAGGCUCACCAAGCCGACGAUCCCUAGCUGGUCUGAGAUGAUGCCCAGCCACACUGGGACUGAGACACGGCCCAUACUCCUACGGGAGGCAGCAGUGGGGAAUAUUGCACAAUGGGGGAAACCUGACCCAGCCAUGCCGCGUGAAUGAAGAAGGCCUUCGGGUUGUAAAGUACUUUCGGUAGCAAGGCGUUAACUACAGAAGAAGCACCGGCUAACUCCGUGCCAGCAGCCGCGGUAAUAC